AUGUUGCUUUCCAGCCUGCUGAAGAUGGUCAUGGCUUCAACGUGGCUAGGAUCUAGUAUUGCCCAGAAGGUAACUCAAGCCCAACCAGCAGUGUUGGUGCAGGAGAAGGAAGCUGUGACUCUGGAAUGCACAUAUGACACCACUGCUGGAAGUUAUGGUUUAUUCUGGUACAAGCAGCCCAGCAGUGGCGAGAUGAUUUUCCUUAUACGUCAGGACUCAUAUAACCAGCAAAAUGCAACAGAAAGUCGCUACUUAUUGAAUUUCCAGAAGGCAAGGAAAUCCAUCAAACUUGUCAUCUCAGCUGCACAAAUUGGGGACUCAGCGGUGUAUUUCUGUGCAUUGAGAGAAAACACAGUGAGAGGACUGCUGCAGAGAGCUGUACAAAAACCCCAGGCGUCUGCUUGA